rnacentral:rRNA from 1 species
UACGGGGGGGGUAAGCGUUGUUCGGAAUUACUGGGCGUAAAGGGCUCGUAGGCGGCCAACUAAGUCAGACGUGAAAUCCCUCAGCUUAACUGGGGAACUGCGUCUGAUACUGGAUGGCUUGGAUUCGGGAGAGGAAUGCGGAAUUCCAGGUGUAGCGGUGAAAAUGCGUAGAUAUCUGGAGGAACACCGGUGGCGAAGGCGGCAUUCUGGACCGACAUUGACGCUGAGGAGCGAAAGCCAGGGGAGCAAACGGGG